GUUAAGGGACUUUAGCAAAGUCACACAGCUGGGGACAGAAGCCAGUCAAGUUUGCCUGACAUCCGUCAACCAGGCCCUGGACACCUGGUCUCAGCCAGCUUUGCCCACCUGGCCGUGUGAUCUUGGCCCCUGUCUGGCCCACAGCCAUGGCCACGAUGGUGGCCCAGAAGCUCAGCCACCUCCUGCCCAGUUUGCGGC